GUGCUUGGGCGAGAGUAGUA
rnacentral:rRNA from 1 species